rnacentral:misc_RNA from 1 species
AACGCAUAUUGCGCUCUUUGGUAUUCCGAAGAGCAUGCUUGUUUGAGUAUCAGUAAACACCUCAAAAGAUUUUCUUUAUUGAAAUGAUUUUGGACUUGAGCAAUCCCAACACCAGUCUUUACGGAUCGGCGGAGGGUUGCUUGAAAUGCAGGUGCAGCUGGACAUUCUCCUGAGCUAAAAGCAUAUCUAUUUAGUCCCGUCAAACGGAUUAUUACUUUUGCUGCAGCUAACAUAAAGGGAGUUUGACCAUUUUGGCUGACUGAUGCAGGAUUUCACAAGGGUCGGUAAAACGAUUUUUGUAAAACUCGAUCUCAAAUCAAGUAAGACUACCCGCUGAACUUAA